CCGCGGUAAUACGGAGGGUGCAAGCGUUAAUCGGAAUUACUGGGCGUAAAGCGCACGCAGGCGGUCUGUCAAGUCGGAUGUGAAAUCCCCGGGCUCAACCUGGGAACUGCAUUCGAAACUGGCAGGCUUGAGUCUUGUAGAGGGGGGUAGAAUUCCAGGUGUAGCGGUGAAAUGCGUAGAGAUCUGGAGGAAUACCGGUGGCGAAGGCGGCCCCCUGGACAAAGACUGACGCUCAGGUGCGAAAGCGUGGGGAGCAAACAGGAUUAGAUACCCUGGUAGUCCACGCCGUAAACGAUGUCUACUUGGAGGUUGUGCCCUUGAGGCGUGGCUUCCGGAGCUAACGCGUUAAGUAGACCGCCUGGGGAGUACGGCCGCAAGGUUAAAACUCAAAUGAAUUGACGGGGGCCCGCACAAGCGGUGGAGCAUGUGGUUUAAUUCGAUGCAACGCGAAGAACCUUACCUGGUCUUGACAUCCACAGAACUUUCCAGAGAUGGAUUGGUGCCUUCGGGAACUGUGAGACAGGUGCUGCAUGGCUGUCGUCAGCUCGUGUUGUGAAAUGUUGGGUUAAGUCCCGCAACGAGCGCAACCCUUAUCCUUUGUUGCCAGCGGUCCGGCCGGGAACUCAAAGGAGACUGCCAGUGAUAAACUGGAGGAAGGUGGGGAUGACGUCAAGUCAUCAUGGCCCUUACGACCAGGGCUACACACGUGCUACAAUGGCGCAUACAAAGAGAAGCGACCUCGCGAGAGCAAGCGGACCUCAUAAAGUGCGUCGUAGUCCGGAUUGGAGUCUGCAACUCGACUCCAUGAAGUCGGAAUCGCUAGUAAUCGUGGAUCAGAAUGCCACGGUGAAUACGUUCCCGGGCCUUGUACACACCGCCCGUCACACCAUGGGAGUGGGUUGCAAAAGAAGUAGGUAGCUUAACCUUCGGGAGGGCGCUUACCACUUUGUGAUUCAUGACUGGGGUGAAGUCGUAACAAGGUAACCGUAGGGGAACCUGC
rnacentral:rRNA from 1 species